GACGAACGCUGGCGGCGUGCUUAACACAUGCAAGUCGAACGGAAAGGCCCUGCUUUUGUGGGGUGCUCGAGUGGCGAACGGGUGAGUAACACGUGAGUAACCUGCCCUUGACUUUGGGAUAACUUCAGGAAACUGGGGCUAAUACCGGAUAGGAGCUCCUGCUGCAUGGUGGGGGUUGGAAAGUUUCGGCGGUUGGGGAUGGACUCGCGGCUUAUCAGCUUGUUGGUGUGGUAGUGGCUUACCAAGGCUUUGACGGGUAGCCGGCCUGAGAGGGUGACCGGCGACAUUGGGACUGAGAGACGGACCAGACUCCUACGGGAGGCAGCAGUGGGGAAUAUUGCACAAUGGGCGGAAGCCUGAUGCAGCAACGCCGCGUGCGGGAUGACGGCCUUCGGGUUGUAAACCGCUUUCGCCUGUGACGAAGCGUGAGUGACGGUAAUGGGUAAAGAAGCACCGGCUAACUACGUG
rnacentral:rRNA from 1 species